rnacentral:rRNA from 1 species
UACGAAGGGAGCUAGCGUUGUUCGGAUUCAUUGGGCGUAAAGGGUGCGUAGGUGGCGUCGUAAGUCAGGUGUGAAAUCUCGGGGCUCAACCCCGAAACUGCACUUGAUACUGCGAUGCUCGAGUACUGGAGAGGAGAUUGGAAUUUACGGUGUAGCAGUGAAAUGCGUAGAUAUCGUAAGGAAGACCAGUGGCGAAGGCGAAUCUCUGGACAGUUACUGACACUGAGGCACGAAGGCCAGGGGAGCAAACGGG